rnacentral:rRNA from 1 species
AGUGAACGCUGGCGGCGUGCCUAAUACAUGCAAGUCGAACGGAAUUUAAAAGAGCUUGCUCUUUUAAAUUUAGUGGCGCACGGGUGAGUAAUAUAUAGCUAAUCUGCCCCUUGCUGGAGGACAACAGUUAGAAAUGACUGCUAAUACUCCAUACUCCUUUUUACCAUAAGAUAAAUCGGGAAAGAAUUUCGGCAAGGGAUGAGACUAUAUCGUAUCAGCUAGUCGGUGGGGUAACGGCCUACCGAGGCUAUGACGCGUAACUGGUCUGAGAGGAUGAUCAGUCACAUUGGAACUGAGACACGGUCCAAACUCCUACGGGAGGCAGCAGUAGGGAAUAUUGCGCAAUGGGGGAAACCCUGACGCAGCAACGCCGCGUGGAGGAUGACACUUUUCGGAGCGUAAACUCCUUUUGUUAGGGAAGAAUAAGACGGUACCUAACGAAAAGCACGGGCAGGUGGG